rnacentral:lncRNA from 1 species
GUCCUGGGGAAAGGCUGAGGGUGCUGGGGCUGUUCAGCCUCAAGAGGAGACGCUGAAAGGGAACCAAGGCUGGGAGGCUGAUGCUGAGCAUCCAGAGGGAUCUGUGUCUCAGUUUCCCCAGGAAGAGCUGGGUUGAGAGGCUGGCUUGGGGAUCCUAAAGGCAGCCCAGUGUGGUAGCCAGCCCAUCCUCUCCUCUCCAGUCUGCCAUGAAGGAAAUGUUGGCCGGACCCGGCUCCCGAGACAAGAAGUCUGGCCAGUAUCUCCUAGACUCGGAGGAUGACCAAGGGCUGAUUGUCAUCGGCAAUGAAAGUACCUCUGGGCACAGCUGGGGGGGAGACGGAGGGUGGGAGGGCACAGGGGGCCUGCAGACUGCUGGCUUGUCCCCCAGCCAAGCUCCCCCUGGCUCCCCUGACCCUGGGCAGCUCCUUCUGGUUUCUUCUUCCAGUUCCCCUCGUGGAAAGGCCCAAGACACCAAAGCGUGGGGACAGCCGGCCUGCCAGCCCCAGCGGCAAGACAGAGGGCAAAGAGAAGGACGAGACUGCAAGCAGCGACAUGCCCUCCGCUGGGGAAAGUGACAUGGGACAGAGUGACAUGGGACAGAGCAGGGCACGGAGUGCCAUGGCACGGAGGGGCAUGGGACUGAAGGACAUGAGGCGAUCAGGUGACACAGGACAGAAUGACAUGGAACAGAAGGACAUGGGAAGGAGUGUGCAAUGGAGCAACAGAGGACGGGAUAACAUGGGACGGGAUGACAUGAGACAGGAUGACAUGGGACAGAGGGACAUGAGACGAAAGGUGCAAUGGAGCGAUGCAGGAGAGAAUGGCAUGGGACAGAAGGGCAUGGGGAAGAGUGUGCGAUGGAGUGACAGAGGAGGGGAUGACAUGGGAUGGGAUGACAUGGGACGGGAUGAGAUGGGACAGAAGGACAUGGGACAGGAUGACAUGGGACAGAUCAAGAAUGAAGAGAUCGAGAUAGACAUCUCUGAGGUAAAGGCUCUUCCCAGCUCUCUGGACAGUCCCCCUGAGAUGACUGACAUGGGAGAGAUCAAGGAAGAAGAGACCAAGACGAGCAUCUCCAAGGUAAAGGCUCUUCUCAGCCCUGUGGGUGCUCCCCCUCCUUUGGGCUCUGC